GACGAACGCUGGCGGCGUGCUUAACACAUGCAAGUCGAACGGAAAGGCCCUGCUUUUGUGGGGUGCUCGAGUGGCGAACGGGUGAGUAACACGCGAGUAACCUGCCCUUGUCUUUGGGAUAACUUCAGGAAACUCGGGCUAAUACCGGAUAGGAGCUCCUGCUGCACGGGGGGGGUUGGUAAGAUGCGGCGGUUGGGGAUGGACUCGCGGCUUAUCAGCUUGUUGGUGGGGUUGUGAAUUACAAAGGCUUUGACGGGUAGCCGGCCUGGGAGGGUGACCGGCUACAGUGGCACUGGGAUGGGGCCCAGACUCAUACGGGAGGCAGCAGUGGGGAAUAUUGCACAAUGGGCGGAGGCCGGAUGCAGCGUCGCCGCGUGGGGGAUGACGGCCUUCAGGUUGUAACCCGCGUUCGCGUGACAAGACGCGUGAGUGACGGUAAUGGGCAGAGAAGCACCGCCUACUUACGU
rnacentral:rRNA from 1 species